UACGUAGGGGGCUAGCGUUGUCCGGAAUCAUUGGGCGUAAAGCGCGUGUAGGCGGUCCGGUAAGUCCGCUGUGAAAGUCGAGGGCUCAACCCUCGAAUGCCGGUGGAUACUGUCGGGCUAGAGUGCGGAAGAGGCGAGUGGAAUUCCUGGUGUAGCGGUGAAAUGCGCAGAUAUCAGGAGGAACACCGGUGGCGAAGGCGGAUCUCUGGGCCUUACCUGACGCUGAGGCGCGAAAGCUAGGGGAGCAAACAGG
rnacentral:rRNA from 1 species